rfam:Trichobilharzia regenti genome assembly, scaffold: TRE_scaffold0073927
AUACAGCUGACGAGUCCCAAAUAGGAGGAAAUGCGCUUUUUCCUGGAU